rnacentral:lncRNA from 1 species
ACGUUUGAAUUUUCUGUUGAUUCUGACAGACCCAAAUGAACAUUAGGGAUCGAUAUGUCAGGGACUUAAAUGUAUUUUCAAAUCCUCAAAAACUUAAAUAUUUGGAAUCAAAAGGUCAAGGACCUAUUUGUCCUUUUCUCUAAAAAAAAUAAAACAAUAACAUUGAAGGGGAAAGCAUAGAAGGCCAAAACCCUAAUCCUCUUCCUUGAGCACCCUAAUCCCCAUUCCAGCUCCUUCCUCAUUCCCACACUUGCUUCGUCCAGCCAUCGUCGUGUCACCAUCGCCGUUGCAACUGUUUGAAGCUGUAUUUCCUACUACGGUCGUCUCCACCACUGCUUGAAGCCGCCGUCUCCACUGCAAAUCAUCUCACGUCAUUCCUCCAUCGCGCAGCCACUGUUCUGCCGUGCCAACUCUGUUUCACCGUGCUCCAGUCCUUCUCUGCUCCAAUUUUGCGACACUCCACCCUCCUCUGCUCCAGUUCCGCGACGCACCACCCUCCAUCUCGUCGUCGUUCUUCAACCAAUCUAGCCACCACCACCGGCCACGCUUCUCCAACGUUGUUGCAACGCCACUGUUCAGCCUCUGUUCAGACGUCGUUCCACCGCUGCUCAACCCUUUGUUCAGCCAUCUCCAUCGAGUUAUAAAACUCCAGCUCCUUUCCCUCAUCUGUUGAUUUUUAGUUAUUGUUUUAGUUUGUUGUUGUUUUAAUUAUUAGGUUGCUGUUCCAGACUUUAAGUUUUUGUUUUGUUGUUCGUUUGCUGUAUUAACUUGUUUUGAUUAUUAACUUGUGUUGUUAUAUUUUAGUUUUGAUUAUUAAUUUGUUUUGACAUGUUCUUGAUCUUAUUAACUUGUUAACUUGAUAACUUAUUAGCCAGUCUUAUAAAUCUUAAUUGGUGGAUUGUUACUUUGAACGCAAAUAAGAUAGGGUCUAGAGUUCUCACUGACUUGUAACUGAUUGUGUCUAAGGUAUUACCUGUUCUAUCAAACAAGGAUUAAUACAGGUUAUGUGAAUGGCUG